rnacentral:rRNA from 1 species
GCAAGUCGAACGGUGAAGCCAAGCUUGCUUGGUGGAUCAGUGGCGAACGGGUGAGUAACACGUGAGCAACCUGCCCUGGACUCUGGGAUAAGCGCUGGAAACGGUGUCUAAUACUGGAUAUGAGACGUGAUCGCAUGGUCGUGUUUGGAAAGAUUUUUCGGUCUGGGAUGGGCUCGCGGCCUAUCAGCUUGUUGGUGAGGUAAUGGCUCACCAAGGCGUCGACGGGUAGCCGGCCUGAGAGGGUGACCGGCCACACUGGGACUGAGACACGGCCCAGACUCCUACGGGAGGCAGCAGUGGGGAAUAUUGCACAAUGGGCGGAAGCCUGAUGCAGCAACGCCGCGUGAGGGAUGACGGCCUUCGGGUUGUAAACCUCUUUUAGCAGGGAAGAAGCGAAAGUGACGGUACCUGCAGAAAAAGCGCCGGCUAACUACGUGCCAGCAGCCGCGGUAAUACGUAGGGCGCAAGCGUUAUCCGGAAUUAUUGGGCGUAAAGAGCUCGUAGGCGGUUUGUCGCGUCUGCUGUGAAAUCCCGAGGCUCAACCUCGGGCCUGCAGUGGGUACGGGCAGACUAGAGUGCGGUAGGGGAGAUUGGAAUUCCUGGUGUAGCGGUGGAAUGCGCAGAUAUCAGGAGGAACACCGAUGGCGAAGGCAGAUCUCUGGGCCGUAACUGACGCUGAGGAGCGAAAGGGUGGGGAGCAAACAGGCUUAGAUACCCUGGUAGUCCACCCCGUAAACGUUGGGAACUAGUUGUGGGGACCAUUCCACGGUUUCCGUGACGCAGCUAACGCAUUAAGUUCCCCGCCUGGGGAGUACGGCCGCAAGGCUAAAACUCAAAGGAAUUGACGGGGACCCGCACAAGCGGCGGAGCAUGCGGAUUAAUUCGAUGCAACGCGAAGAACCUUACCAAGGCUUGACAUAUACGAGAACGGGCCAGAAAUGGUCAACUCUUUGGACACUCGUAAACAGGUGGUGCAUGGUUGUCGUCAGCUCGUGUCGUGAGAUGUUGGGUUAAGUCCCGCAACGAGCGCAACCCUCGUUCUAUGUUGCCAGCACGUAAUGGUGGGAACUCAUGGGAUACUGCCGGGGUCAACUCGGAGGAAGGUGGGGAUGACGUCAAAUCAUCAUGCCCCUUAUGUCUUGGGCUUCACGCAUGCUACAAUGGCCGGUACAAAGGGCUGCAAUACCGUAAGGUGGAGCGAAUCCCAAAAAGCCGGUCCCAGUUCGGAUUGAGGUCUGCAACUCGACCUCAUGAAGUCGGAGUCGCUAGUAAUCGCAGAUCAGCAACGCUGCGGUGAAUACGUUCCCGGGUCUUGUACACACCGCCCGUCAAGUCAUGAAAGUCGGUAACACCUGAAGCCGGUGGCCCA